CUUCUAAUAUCUUACUUUCAUAAAAAAUUAAAAUAUUUUCUAAAAACAUACGAAUGAUGUUACUUUUAGUCUUAACCAUUAUAUAGCAAGUAUUAUCCUUCUACAAAGAAAUAAAAGGUUAACCUUCUCUAGUUUCCAACCUAGCAUGAAUAUAUGAGAAAGAGGGAUGAAUGGUGAAAAACUUAGGUAACAAAAACAUGGUUAUUAAAAACGAAGUUCUCAUCUGGGAUUGAAAGUUGGUUAUUAAAAAUUUAACUAGCCUGACAGAAGUUAAUUGCUAAACAUAGCUGGUGCUUAAUUAUCUAAACAGAAAAUAAUGAUAUAUCUAUUAUAUACUAAUCCUCAGGUUUCAUAAACUUAAAGCCUGACAUGUGACAUAUGGACAAGAAAAACGCACACUUUCACAUAUGCAAUCACUUAAAUGCAGCUUGGGCAAUUUUGAAUUCAAAAGAAAUCUCAAAACUGUGUAUCAUUUCAUCCAAAUUUUAGCUACUGCAUAGCAUUUGUAUCCAAAAACAAAGAAAUUCCACCAUUUAAAGUCUAGUAAAGCAAACACGUCGUGCAUAUCAGUAAUUCAUCAAAUUCAAAAACAUAGACAUGGCAAUAUAUCCACAAUAAAUAUAAAUUACAAUAGUUUAGACUGAAGAGUGCUAAACAAUACCCAUUAGCAGAAAACACUUUUAAACUAAUUCAAUCUUACAUCAGUGAGAACAAGAGCAGAAAUAAGCACGUGAAAACAAUGCAAAAUCAGCGUAUCUUAGAAAAAAAGGGUAAAA
rnacentral:lncRNA from 1 species